AUUGAACGCUGGCGGCAGGCCUAACACAUGCAAGUCGAGCGGAUGAGGGUAGCUUGCUACCUGAUUCAGCGGCGGACGGGUGAGUAAUGCCUAGGAAUCUGCCUGGUAGUGGGGGACAACGUUUCGAAAGGAACGCUAAUACCGCAUACGUCCUACGGGAGAAAGUGGGGGAUCUUCGGACCUCACGCUAUCAGAUGAGCCUAGGUCGGAUUAGCUAGUUGGUGGGGUAAAGGCUCACCAAGGCGACGAUCCGUAACUGGUCUGAGAGGAUGAUCAGUCACACUGGAACUGAGACACGGUCCAGACUCCUACGGGAGGCAGCAGUGGGGAAUAUUGGACAAUGGGCGGCAAGCCUGAUCCAGCCAUGCCGCGUGUGUGAAGAAGGUCUUCGGAUUGUAAAGCACUUUAAGUUGGGAGGAAGGGCAGUAAGUUAAUACCUUGCUGUUUUGACGUUACCGACAGAAUAAGCACCGGCUAACUCUGUGCCAGC
rnacentral:rRNA from 1 species